AAAUAUUGCUACCCAAUUAACAAUAAACCACAUCUCACUCAACUUGUAACAAAUAGACAGAUAACAGGUCGAAGAUGACAUAUCAGUUCAAAUCAUGGCCCGCACUGAACCUCAUAGAUGCAAAUACUUCAGCAAAUAUCAUCAAGAAAGAACAUCCUGACUUCAGACCAGUUAUACUGUUGGCAGGAACUCCAGUAACACGAGAUCUUCAACAAGGUCGAGUUCGAUUAAUUGUUAAUAUAGAGGAAAGAAGUUCAAAUUCCUCAUGAGGGCUAAAUUGGAAACAUAUAUGUUUCAUAUUAGGAAGUUUUAAAUAAAGUAGAAUCUAUUUCUACUACUUAAUACAUCAA